UUCUCCAGUAAAAUUUUCCAGGAUUGUGAAGCAGAAUAAAAAAUAAUUGGAAAAAAUUAAUCCAAUUCUGUCAAAAUGGAAAUAAGCACAGAUAUGUACUAAGGAACGCUUAUUCCAUUGGACCUGGAACUGUGAAAGAAGACCAAAACCUCAAGAGAGAUGAUGAAGUGAAUCUUAGCACACCCCCUGUAUUUUAAAGUGCCAUCAGGAUGUGCAUGUGUCUGGGUGUGUACAGAGUUUUUUCCAUCAAAUUACCUGUUUGUGGAAUUGUGCUAUGAGAUCCUGAAUUAGUUUAGAAGUUGAAGGCAGAGAUGGGAGCAUUCGAUACCGGAAUCUUAAGAUAAGUAUCAGUGAUAGUUGGUUUUUUUGGCUGUUGUUCUGCUGGCACCUUCACUGGCGAAUCUUUCCUUAUGUACCAGCACCAAGUCUAGAUGUGAUGCCUUGUGCCUUGA
rnacentral:lncRNA from 1 species